AUGUGUUUGUGUGUGUGUGUUUUCUUUUGUUAUGGCAGGGUGAGCAAGGAGAACUGGGGGAAACAGGUUACCCAGGAGACCCUGGUCUUCCAGGCCCACAGGGCCCAAGAGGACCACAAGGGAUCAGAGGACCUCCAGGACCACAAGGCAUUCCAGGCUCUCGGGCUAGUCUGGGUCCCCCAGGUCCACCUGGUUCAAGUGGAAAGCCUGGUGCAAGAGGAGUAAAGGGUGAACCUGGUGACCCUGGAGAGAAAGGCCCUGUGGGACCACCUGGACCGAGAGGCAUACCAGGUGUGGAUGGCAGAGACACCUAUGGUCCUGAAGGAAGCAAAGGAGCAAAGGGGGAGUCUGGAUUCAUAGGGUAUCCUGGUCCAGAGGGAGAAGUUGGAGACCCGGGUGUUUCAGGAGCUAAAGGACCCAAAGGAAUUAGAGGUAGAAGGGGUAAUGCUGGCACACCAGGUUCCCUGGGAGAUCCAGGGGACCAAGGACCACCAGGACCUAUGGGUGCCAAGGGACAAAGAGGCACUGUUUUAAUGGAAGUAAGUAACUAG
rnacentral:lncRNA from 1 species